rnacentral:rRNA from 1 species
GACGUAGGGUCCGAGCGUUGUCCGGAGUUACUGGGCGUAAGGGCGCGUAGGCGGUUCCAUGCGUCCCACGUGAAAGCCCCUGGCUCAACCAGGGAGGGUCGUGGGAAACGGGGGAACUGGAGGCAGAGAGAGGCUGGUGGAAUUCCCGGAGUAGUGGUGAAAUGCGUAGAUAUCGGGAGGAACACCGGUGGCGAAGGCGGCCAGCUGGCUCUGACCUGACGAUCAGGCACGAAAGCGUGGGGAGCAAACAGG